AUCUUGAGGCUGAUUGCGGAGGUCAGGACUCAACUGGAAAGACCGCAGCGGGUUGCUGACUGGCAUCCACCGUCCAGAUAAGAUAAAAACAACUGAUGACAGCAGGGAAGUGAAACAGUCAUCUCAGCACUUGGAUUAGUGCCCGGCAAAGAGGAAGGGAGAAAAAAAACCAAGGAGGGCCGGUGGGGAGGGGAAGGGGGUGGAAUAUGUAUUAGAAUAGAAACUCUGGAAAAAAAAAGCUAUCAGGAGGCAGCAGAUUUGGGUGUUAAAUAUUUAUGAAUUAGCGGCACUUGUCGCGUUCUCUCCGAGCCGUGAGUCUGCAGGACGGGCGCGCGUGUGGCUGCGGACCCGCCGUGGCCGCGGUGGGCACACAGGGGGCGGUGGGAAGAGCAGGGGCACGGAGGGGCAGUGGGAGCCGGGGGGAAGGUGACGGGGUCCGGCGGGUCUGGCGGUGCCGAGACUCGCCGCGGUGCAGGAUAAAUCCAGGUGAAGAGCAGGAAGGAUAAAUGAGGUGCCAUAAAAGUGACUAUUAUUAUUCAGAAAAUUCUGCUGAAGAGCAUUGGAGUAAUUAAAUCAUAAUUGCUUAUUACUCAGCCGAAGUGACAUUGUAAGUGGCUGAAGGUCUGUGACGAGGAGAGGAGGGGGGGUCUCGGCUUUUCUGCCGUGCUCCGGGUUCGCCUCCAUCCCGCUGCCGACGUCCGCAUCCCCGCGGCGGCCGCGCCAAAACUCCAGCCCUCGGUGAAGGUCAAAAGUCCCCCCUGAGCCCAUGAAGCCCAUUUUCAGCGUGGCGCCCGGUCGGAGCGUCCCGGGGGUGCUGCCGCCAGCGCAGCGUUACCGGCUGCUGCGGGACAGGGAGCCGGGAGCAGCUUCGCGAGAGGUGCCCGAGCGGCGUUAGCUUCCACUGCCCCGGCUGGACGGUUGUUGCUGGUCUCCAGCACCUUGGGGUUGGGCUGACCCGCUAAACUCCGAGAGCUCUAAAGGAGCCGUUCCCUGCCGCGAAACAAAGAGCCUGCAAAUCCUGUAAGCGCUUAAUUACGCAGCGGUGUUUUAUGGAACGUUUUAAAGGGCUCAGGUAAUUUGGCAGCACAGAGGAGAUGCGGAGCGGAGGUUUGGAAGCGUGAGCCCUUCCCAGCACGCCAUGGCGGGCUUUCCUUGCGCCAGCCGGGUUGGGAUGACAAACCGUAUUCUCGGCUUUAGGUAACACGUUCUGAAUUUUGCUGGAGUUUCCUCAUUUUUGUUUCGGUGUCGCUCUGUGUUUCACAUUCUGAAAUAUUCUGAAAUGAGGUCAUCCGGCAUGUAAGGGCAGCUGAGCGUCUCUUAGUUAUGUUUUUUUUCACCCUUUUUUGCUGCCCCCCUCCCCACCUCGCCCUCCGCCAUGCUGCCCGUGCCCUGCCGCCCGCCCCCAACUCCCCGGCAGCAUCCGGGAGGGAGAGAAAAGGACCGAACCGUGGCGGCAUGGCGCUGGCACGCUGCGAUGCCCGGGUACCAUCGCAUCCCAGGUGAACUCCCCUGGGAUGGGAAAGGAGAAGAGGAGAAGGCCCCCAUCGCUGUUGCUGGCUGCUUGACUUUAUCCUGCUCCGGUUCCAGCUGGCAGAACAAGGUCUGCGGUUCUGCACCGAGAACCGGGCAGGUGUGGUGGGGAAAAAUGCUGGAAAUGGUGGAAAAGAGCAUCCCUUCUGGGGCGGUCUCAAGGAUAACCCCGCGCUCACCGCGCCCCGUGCUGGUGGGAAGCGUCAGCCUCCAGCCCUUCGAGGAGCAGCGAGGCUGGUUAUGUUUCCACCAGGCGUAUUUAUUUUUAUUUUUUAAAUAGCUGUAAAAUGAGUCACCUGGCACCGCGGCAGAACGCAGCCCACCAGCACGGAGAGCGCCGAGGAACUGCCAGGGAAUCUGCUGCCAAUAAACCACUCGUGGCUUCAGACGGGCUCUUGUUUUGGGGCUCGCUGGAGCCAGCUGGGAGCCGAGCCCGCGGCCGCCUGCCAGCACCGACCCCCUCGCCGGGACCCGCCGCUCCCGCUGCCAGCCCCUGUUUUGUCUAAUUACGCCGGGCUAAUGGGGAGAGCACAAAAGCCCGUGGCUUCCCCGGCCCCUGCUCUUUGGGCAGAGCCCGGCCAGGGGAGCUUGUGCUCCUAUAUAAAGAAAUACAAUUUAUUUAUUUUUUUUCUUUCUUGCAGUAAAGACAUCCCUAAAUGAGAGUCAUCUGCGGGUUUCUUCCCAUCCUGGGGUGAGGCACGUCGGUAAGUGAACGUGAUCCCCUGUGAAGCUCAAACUCUGCACCGAGAUCCUGAUUCUCAGGAAAAGGGUGAAAAAAUCCCACUCUUCGUCGUAGCUUCAAGGGAGGAAGGAUGGGGAAACAUUCCCAGAAGAUCUUUCAUUGACAGGAACUCCACCGCAGAAACAAGCGUGGAAGCCAACAUAAUUAAAGGCUUCUUUUUCCCCAGCCGUGGUCCUCUGGUCUUUGAAGAGCUCGGGGAUCCCUGAGGAAUGCUCUGAACUCUGCAAUAUUUUGAUAGCUGCAAUAACAUAAUCAAAAGAUGCUUUCAUGAAGAGAGCACCUUGUGUGGAUUGAGGCUGCCCCCUCUCCCCCCACCCAGUGCCGAUUUAAUGGGGUCCAGAGCUCGAGCGCAGAUGGGUAGUUUUAUU